AUGAGGGUAAGUCUUUCUUUGAUCAUGAGGAAGGCCAACACAAGAGUCGCUGAGCGGCUGAUUCCUCGAGCGCAGUGGACAAGCACCUUACCUUCAAGGACAACAAACACAAUCUCCUUAUAUGAUGGCUGCAUUUGGAAAGGACCUCCAGGAAACCCUAACCUUACUGGUGCAGCUCGCUCUGUUUCCCAUCUGAGCUGGACAUCAGUGUUGUUUAGAGGCUGAACCCCGCUGGAACGAGACAGCUGAACAUACCAGAGACUGGGCAGAAGCAACGUGGACUAUUUAUUCCUCGCAUGACACUGACAGAAGCCAGGCUGCUUGUGUUGUGACAAAUUCAAGUACAGAGCUGCUGCAGUUUUUACAGUUGUAAUAAUGCAAGUGACUCAAAACAUGGUGAGGUAUUAAUGUCAAAUAGCUGCACUGAUUGUUUUCAAACCACAUCAGAUUAAACCAAUGAGGACAACCA